GGCCUCUUGGCGGAACUGGUAGACGCGCACGACUCAAAAUCGUGUGUCCUUCGGACAUCCGAGUUCGAUUCUCGGAGAGGCCACCA
rnacentral:tRNA from 1 species